CGCUAAUCCGAUAGGGGCUCCCUGAGAGGGGUAAGGCACAGAGCGGUGCGCAGUGUUUACAGAGGAAAGCGCAUCAGUUGUUCCUACCAAAUGGGACCCGCGCUUUCUAGAGAAGUCAAGGACCAUGAAGAGGAAGCAGGAUUGCUUAUUGGCGGCUUUGUGCUUUGUGAACAAACCAUGGUAACACCAGGACCUGACUGUGACUCAGAACUCCAGUGGUCCACAUGAAAGACACCAAGACACCUGAGAAAAGAACAGAAACUAACCAGGAGCCUCCAGGAGCCACUGCUCUGCCCUGUCAUGCCAGGUGGGGCUGCUAACAGCUCCACCCCAGUCUUAGAACCUGAGAGGGAGGCUUGCCCUACUGGGCGGGCCUUGGAGAAAAUAAAACCAAUCCUCUAGCCCUUCAACUUGUUCCUGGACUGAGAUGUGCCUUGGCAACUUUGUUCAAAAGCAGACUUCAGGGGUAAGGAAAACUCCCCUGCCCACCCAGAUGCUGUGGGGCAGAGGAACCUGAGUGGUUACUUGUUAAUUUUGUCAUUCCCAAUCUCAGAACUUAAGAUACUUUAUCUACAAAACGGACCCAUUUUCUCUAGAGCAGUGAGUGGUUCACGAACUUCUUAACACUGCGACCCUUUAAAACAGAUCCUAACGCCAGAGUGACCCCAGGCAUAGUUUUUUUCAUUACUACUUCAUAACUGCAAUUUUGCUAGUGUUAUGAAUUGUAAGUAUCUGUGUUUUCCAACUUCAACCCCCGGAGUCACAAUCCACAGGUUGAGAUCCACUACCCUAGAGUAAGAGCAAUUCAAUAUAAUAUAACCUGGAAAAGCACUUUACCUGAGAACCUAGCCACUGCAGAUGCCCAACAAACAAACAAAACAGAACAAGCCAGCUGCCCUACAUGGACAGUAGGAAGUACAUAUUUGAUUCCCCCAGCUUGCUCACGUAAUAUUCCUUGUAUAAAUGGAUGCUUGUGUCCCGAACAGGUCUCCAUGAGGACUUCCUCUGUCUGGAAAAACUUGUCUGUGGAGGCCUCUCAAGAAAAUACCCAGAAAAGUCACACAAUGUCUCCCCCUGCCCCUUCCUUCCAGAAGGGCCUGGAGAGGGGAAAGGAUUGCUGUCUGUACCCCCACUUCAGUCCUUCCCCCUUCCUUAGUGAUGCUUGAAACCGCAUUGGUUGUACAAAGCAUAAGAGAGAGAGGUGUAGGUCCCUCCCCCAUAAGAAUUUGGGAGAGGCAAUUUGUCCUUAGGAGCGAUAUACUCCAGUUAGAAGUAAGGAAUGGAUUCUUUAAAUGAAGUUAAAAUUGGGGCAACGAUAUUAGAGUUUAGAGCCAAGCAUGAUGGUGCUUCCUUUAAUAACAACACUUAAGACAUUGAGUCAAGAUUUCAAGUUCAAGACUUGCCUGGGCUGCAGGAGAGCCUGUCCCCAAAAAUAAAAAUAUUUUUAAAAUAGCACAUGGAAACACUAGGAGUUAAGAUUUGGAAGUUAGUUAGCUAAACUUCUGAAUGGGAGUUUCUAGGGGCCAGAGGAGUGGAGGCCAACAGAAGUUAGAUCUGAAACACAAAACAUUGUAUUCUAGGGACCCCUCUCAGCACGGGGAGCCAAAGAUCACGUCCAUCUGUGUCAGGUUCUUCAGCAGGCCUGGUGGUCUGGAUAUGUGGACUCAUAUCUCAUGUGCCAAUUAUGGCAUUCAGGGUCCCAAAGGUAUCUAAGCGUUGUCUGUUAGAUGAGGCUGGGGAUACCAGGUCUAGGCCAGCCCUUCUCAUAAGGAUGCCCAAGAAAUCACAAAUCUCCAUCUAAAACAUACAUCGAAGACCUCCCAAGACUAUUUGGAAAACCCCAAAUGAUCACAGAAAGAAUAACUUCAAAGUGAAUAUGAUGUUUACCCGAGGAUGAUACUCUGAAGUGACACACAGAGAUCAUUCUCUGACCUCAGGUGAAGCCGGCGUCUUCCUGCCCUCCAAGAAUACCUGCCUCUCUGGUAACACACCAUUUCCCUUUAGACCAUUUCCAGAAAAAGCUACUCGUCUGAACAGGAAGUGACAAAGAAGCAACUCACCACCAGCUUUCCAGGAUCCUGGUACCCCAACACAUACAUGCACAUGCAUGCAUGCACACACACACACACACACACACACACACACACACGCACGCACGCUGGUCAGCCCUGGUAUAGCAUGAGCCAUCUCAUAAGUCACCUAGAUAAAGUAGGAAUCAUCAAAUAUUUAUCAGAUGGGGUUGGGCAGUUGGCUCAGUGGUUAAGAGCACUGGCUGCUCUUCCAGAGGACCUGAGUUCAAUUCCCAACACCCACAUGGCGGAUCAUACCUGUCUGUAACUCCAGUUCCAGGAGAUCGGACACCCUUAUACAGACACAUGUACAGACAAAACACCAAUGACAAUGAAAUAUAAAUCAUAUAUCUGUAAGCUCUUUAUCAGAUGAAGGAGAGAGUGAAGCGGCUGGUGAAUGCACGGGCAGCCCAGCCUCAGAGCAUGAGAACACUUCCUAGUCCUGGACACCCGGUGAUUCCAGGAUGUCACCUGGCUCUGAGAGCCUCUCCCUGGAGAGUAUUCCAUGAGGAGACCACAUGCACCUUUCCUCAAGCCCCCUCACCUCCCACCUCUCCUCCCUUCCCUUAACUGUGGGACUUUGCAAACCCCACAUGCUAAACUUUCUACCUGGAAUAUAGCAGGCAGUGUGGUGAACAAGAGAGACAGAAAGGGGAGGUUGGGGAUUUAGCUCAGUGGUAGAGCGCUUGCCUAGCAAGCGCAAGGCCCUGGGUUCGGUCCCCAGCUCCGGAAAAAAAAAAAAUAGAAAAAAUAGAAAAAAAAAGAGAGACAGAAAGAAAACAGUGUGUAGAACCCCCCAUGCUUACAGUUUAAUUUUCAUUCUAUUUAUUUAUUUGUAAGUGUGUACAUGGACACAUGCGUGUAGAAGUGGAACCCGUGUAUGUCAUGGCACACGUGCACACAGUAGAGGGAGUUUGCUCUUUCCUUCCAUUACAUGGGGAGGCCGAGGGGUCAAACUCAGGUGGUCAGGCUUGGUGGCAGGUAAGCCAUGCUACUGGCCCAUGUUCACAACGAGUAGAUGAUGAUAACAGCCAUGUACAUGUGUCAAAUCACACUGCAAUGGAAUCCACUAAGGAACAACUCUUUGAGGUCAAGAGAAUAGAAUCAGUAGCCUGGUGUGGUGGCACACGCCGUUAAUCCCAGAACUUAGAAGGCAGAGGCAGGUGGAUCUCUGAGUGUGAGACCAGCCUGGUCUACAGAGUGAGUUCCAGGACAGCCAGGGAUACACAGAGAGACCCUGUCUCAAAAAACCAGGAUGCAGGGGUUGGGGAUUUAGCUCAGUGGUACUGGGUUCGGUCCCCAGCUCCAAAAAAAAGAAAAAAGAAAAACAAAACAAAACAAACAAACAAACAAAACAAACCAACCAAACAAACAAACAAAACCAGGAUGCAGAGGGAGGAAGUGAAGAGAACUAGUGACGGGUAAAGACCUAACUUUCCAGAUAUUCCAGUCUCUGUUUCAAUCACCGGGCCAAGAGACCACCGGUGAGAAGACAGCUUUACCUUAAACCAUGUUAGAUAAAUAGGCAGAACGUUUUUCCCUUUAACGAGACACCGUACUUUUCCUUCCCAGAAUUCUUUCCCCUAAUGCUGACCCAUAAGUCUUUUCUGGGUCUGCCUACCCUUCUGAGGUGUAAGCCAGAAAGUACAACUUCCCAUUUUCUUCCUCUCCACAAACCCCUCUUUUGACACUGGCCAGAACCAAGAGAGCUUUUUCUGAUACUGUGGGUGGUCAUCCCUGCUCUUUCUAUAAUGCCCCGCUCCCCUCCCCCAUGUGGCUGACCUCCAAGCCAGCUCGAGUGGCCUGACUGUCUCCAUCUUACCUCCUUCUCUAUGCAGCUCCUGGCGUUUACAGCUUGUGUGCCUUGGGAUGUUUUCCUUUUAAAUUCUAAGAAAAAUUAACUUCAACCUGCAAUUUGAAUCCAUUCUUUAAUUCUUUUGUUAAUGAGACCAAGAAUCCUAAAAGGGAACACUGAUUUUCCCCAGAAUCACGAGGGUACAAAUGCAAGAAACAGAUCCAAGGAGCAUGUGCUUCAGGUCAGAGCUGAGAAAACUCAAGGAUGGCCAACAAAGGACGCUUCCUGAAGGAUUCGAAGCUGCCGCCCAUCUGGUCUCAAGCCUGAGAGGGAAAAGGUGGGAGAGGCAGCUCCCAGGAAGGACAGAUCAAACUAUGUUCUCUCAAGUAGAUGUAUCAAAACAAUGUGCCAAGUGCCUUAAAAUAGGGUGGUGGUGGGGAGUUCUUGGCCCGAAUCUCUAAACAAAGAUUAACAAGAGGAAAAUAGUUUAUUAAAAGUGUGGCGCAUGGGAGAUAAAGGAAGGAAUGACACUUCCACAAAGAGCAGUACAAUUUUAGGAAAGGGGAAGGCGGAAGAAACAAGAACUACACUCCCCAGAGGUAUCGACUGUGAAAGGCAAAUCAGAGAGAGGAAAAAAAACAGGAGACAAAGACUCUUCAAUCUCUGCUUGCUGCGUGCCACUUCUGGCGGACGAAGGUCUCAAGUGUCUUCCAUGAUACCACCUUCCGGGUAAAGCGGAGAACAGGGACAUCCGUGUACAUUUCCAUCCAGCUUUUAGGCAAACGGGGGAGGGAGGGUUCCUCUUGCUUCUGUUCCUUUUCAGCUGCCUUUGCUCAAAAUAAUCCUUAUGCUAAAGUGGCCCGUGUCUGGGUGGUGUGUUUCGCUACCCUUCAAUAGGAUGGGCACAGCUUCAAGGCUAUGUAAGGGACUUAGGCCGACCACCUAGUGAGCCCUUGGAGCAGUGAAAGAGCCCGAGAAGACAUCCCCAGAUGUGUACGCUCCAUAGCCCAUGCUUCACAGAUCCUGGAUGCAGCCAUGCUAGCUGCCUGUGACUUACAGCCAUUGCUCUGGCAGGUGGCAGACACAGACAGUUCUUCCCAUCGAGAGGGAUAUGACUCCGAGAUACACAGCUGCAGCCUUGGCGGCUUGACUCAUCCUUACCUGGUAAGAGAGAGAGAGAGAGAGAAAGAGAGAGAGAGAGAGAGAGAGAGAGAGAGAGAGAGAGAGAGAGAGAGAGCGAUACAUCCACACCCGACCCAGUGAGUCUACCCUACCUCCUGCUGAGAGAGAAGUCUGCUCAGGUUUGCAGAGGAAGCAGGACUGGAACUUAGAACUGUCCUUCCUGCCUCCAUCUUUUCCUUCCUUCCUCUCCUCCACUCUUCCCUUCCUUCUUUCUGUCCUUCCUUCCACUUUUUGAAUAAGACAUUGAUAUAUAGCCCAGGCGGGCCCUGGAACUUGUACUCCUCCCGCCUCUGCCUCCCAAAUGCUGGGUUUCUAAGCAUGUGCUGCCAAGCCCAGGACUUUCUUCUGACCUUUCCAGAGGCGCUGAGACCCCAGCACCUCAAGGAUCAAGCAAGCCCAAUGCAGACAUAAGGUGCAGGCCAGCACCUGGAAUCACAGGAUGGAAAAAGUCCGAAAGCUCUGGGGAAAAUGAGGGCUCACCCCUACCCCCGCCCACCCCCAUUCUCUUCUGUUCUGAAGUCACAUCUCCAAAUCAGUGUAUUUAUCCCAAACAUGAACACAGCACUCAACCACAGUUGGUAAAAUUUUUCUGCCACAUCUGUGGUGCAAGAAGAGUGGAGUCGAGGACCAUAUAGAUAAGCCCACAAGCCCAGAGUGUCGCAUGUCCCCUUGUGACACUAGGCUCUUUAAGUUACAGUCAUACGAAAGAGGGAGAUUCAGCCCCCACCCCAAAGCUGAGCUAGAUCUUUAUGCUGCUGUUGCCUGGUUAGCCAGCCCCCCUCCGCCGUGCCCCUCCCACCCUCACUGCCAUGAUACCCCCACUCCCGCACCCCCUACUUUGUGAGCUCCGCACCCCCAGGAGAGCUCAGAACCAAACCUAACUGAAGAAACAAGCUUGGAGGGUACAGCUGCAGGGCGGAGUCAUCCAGAUUCCUCCAGCAGCUUUGUCCUAAUGAGGCCUCCAGGGACCCCAGCAGGACAAGGACAAGGUGUCAGGAGAGAAACUGUACAUGUGGCACCUCUAGGACAGGUGCCGCACCUAGGUGGACCGUCAAGGAGCACAUGGAAACGUGAUGGCUGGACUGUGAGUUCAUCAUGGAAGAUGCCAGUCCUUCCCUCAGGGGUCAGAUUCACACCGGGACGAUAGGAAUCUGGCUUUCAGAGAAGACUCACCCCAUCCGAGCUAUUCUCUGGUACCUCAGGAAAUUGAGCUCCGUGCAUUCCUGAUUGACAAACUGCCAUCAUGGCCUGUCCCCUUUUUGCCCUGAGGGUUGGGUCUGAAUCCUACUCGGACUGUCUGUUCUCAGUGUAUUGUGUAAUUGCUGCCAUUCCUCCGGACCUUCUGCAGAGAGGUGCGCUAAGUUCCUUUGCAGUGUUGCAGCCAGCCUUUGGGGUUUGUGUUGGGGUUUCAGAAGGGAGUUGCCACGCAAUUACAUUGCAGCUGACUGAGAUGGUUAAGUGUUCCCAUAGACUCAAAUGAUUGGAUAUGGAAGGACUGAACCAACUCCUACUCCUAAAAGUUAUCCUAUGAUCUCCACAUGCAUGCCAUUAGAGAGAGACAGAGACAGAGACAGAGACAGAGACAGACAGACAGAGACACAGACAGACAGAGACACAGACAGAGACACAGAGACAGAAAGAGAUAAAGACAGAGAGAAGGGGGCACAGAGAGAGAGAGAGAGAGAGAGAGAGAGAGAGAGAGAGAGAGAGAGAGAACAGACAGAGAGAGAAUAAAUAAAUGUUGCCAAUUCAGCUUGGCCUUGGUGGGUCAAAGUAACACAGUUGUUGCCCCCAGGAUAGGGUCAGCAGGCUGGGUCUCCAAGACUCCUGAUGGCUGCCCUGGGCAUAAGUGUAUGUGUACAAUAAUGCACAUAUUUUAUGCUCCUUCUUUAAGGAGUGUCCUUCCAGUUAAGGUUAAUAACUCCAUGAUAAGGAGACAGCCUGAGUCCAGGAGCUGAAGGUGAGGCUAAGAUCUCAGCAAAAUCGUAAACGCUGGGACCUUCAGUCCUUCCAUUAAGGCUGUGGAAAGGAACUCUUAAAAAUGAGCUCAAAAUACAUAUAAUUUCCCAACUAAGCAAAAUAUAAGGACGCAAUAUGAAUUAUGAGGGGCUUCCUGGACCUAAAGGAACAGUGGUGGCUACACUGUGAGUCAUCUUGUCAGAAAGAUACAAAGGCAGGCAGAUUCCUGAGUUCAAGGUCGGUGUGGGACACUGCUCCAAACCCGGGUGUGGUAAUGUCAGGACAGGGCCUCUCCCAGCUCGUCUGUGAUUAACAGUGGCAGCGAGAGCUCUGAACUCUUUUGCAAUGUUAUGAGAAAAUGUGUGCUUGCUGUCUCCUAACAGUUAAGGGGCUGGGAUCAGCGGAUGCUGAUUCUUAGGAUAAUUGAAAGGAAACCUGAAGUAAAAGACUGGAUGGAUAUGUAAAAUAAAAUAAAUCUGCAAAAAAUGAGCUAUCCAUAGAGUGUUUUAGAAUAGCAAGAGAGAACUGCUUAGAGAACUGUCUUAAGUAGAACACACACACACACACACACACACACACACAACACACAACACACAACACACACAUACACACACACACAGAGAGAGAGAGAGAGAGAGAGAGAGAGAGAGAGAGAGAGAGAGAGAGAGAGAGAGCGCUAUCUAGAGAUCUCCAGAGAAAGCAAAACAGGCUGGAAAGCUGUCUCCAGCAGAGCACAGGCCGCCAGCUUGGACCCAUGAUUUGACUUCAAGUUGUUUGUUUUUGCCGCUCCAGACACCCCUUCCUCAGAACCCCUCUCCAAGUCGAGGCUGGUCCUUGGCAAACUUAACAACAACAACAACAACAACAACAACAACAAAAUUAAAGUCUAUCAUCAGGUAGGAGCUAGACAUGGUGGUAAUUGCCUGUAAUCUGAGGGCUCUGGGGCAGAAGCAGGAGGAUAACACAAGUUCAAGGCCAGCCUGGUCUACACAGCAAGUUCUAGGACAUAUAAUAAGACUCUGACCCACAAAAACAAAAAGUACAAAUGAACAAAUAAAAUGUGCCCUGUGGUGACAUCAGUAGAGCUGUGUGGCCACCAUUGCUAAUUCUGGAACAUUCUUUCACACUUCCACCGCCACCCCAAACCCCACCACACCAUUAGCCAUGUCUUCUCAGUCCUCCCUUCCUCAGUCCCUGACAACCCCAAAUCCACUUUCCAUCUCUAGAGAUUUGCCUGUUCUGAACACGUCAUGCAGAAACAACCAUGUAUUUUGCAGUCUUUCAUAUAACAUGUUUUCCAGGCUCAUUCACACGUGGUGUAAAGUGUUACUCCAGUUUUUUUUUUUUUUAUUGGUGAAGAGGGCUCCAUUAUACAAAUAGCCACAUUUUGUUUUUUCCUUUCAUUAGUUGAUAGACAUUGGGUUUAUUUAUACUGAGUCUAAUCAUUAUUGAUGUUUCUAAUUGCUUACUCAUUUUGUAUUGCUCUAACAAAGAAUGCUACGACCUAGGUGUUGAUAGUUUAAGUGGCUGGGAAGAAAACAACCAGAGUGCCUACACAUUUGGUCUUUGGUAAGAACACUUCCUGGUGUGCUGAGGGCUGUCUCUUCCUCCUCCUCCUCCUCCUCCUCCUCCUCCUCCUCCUCCUCCUCCUCCUCCUCCUUCUCCUCCUCUUCCUCCCCCUCCCCCUCCUCAUCCUCCUCUACCUCCUCCUCCUCCCCUCUUCCUCCUCCCUCCUCCUCUUCCUCUCCCCCUUCUCCUCUUCCUUCUCUUCCCCCUCUUCUUCCUUUUACUCUUCUUCCUUUUCCUGUUCUUCCUCCUCUUCUUCUUUCUCUCCCUCCUCUUCCUCCUCCUCUUUUUUUGUUUUUGUUUUUGUUUUUGUUUUUUCAGACAAGUGAAGAGGGCACUCCUAACCACUGAGCCACCCCUCCAGCCUCUCACACUUCAUUUUCAUUUGUAAGGUUCCCUUUCCCCCUAUCCUGCCAGGGCUUGACUCCAAAGCUAGACCAGCUCUGAGCUACACGCCCAGCUCCUCAUGUUCUAUACACUCAGUUCUCUGGCAUCUGGGGCUUUGAUAUAGGAAAGAUUUCUCCUUCUAGGCCUCAGUAGUUUCUAGAGAGCAACAACUCCCCAUAACUGAGCCUGGGAUAUGCAAACUAAUCCACUCAGAUCCCAAACCCCCAAGGAACAGAGAACCCCGUCAUUUGGCUCAACUUUGCCUCGAACGGUUUCCUUAUAUUUCUCCAAUAGUCAGCUUGGCUUUUAGGACUGAUGUAUGCACAUCUUUAUGACAAGGAACUGGAACUACCCCAACGUGACCAGGUCAUGCAGUGAGACUACGAAAAACAAGAGCUAGCUAGUCAUCGAGGAUGGAGCGGAGGUUGUACUCCAGAGCAGCCGCCAUCACCUCAGGAGAACCAGGCUGCUCCCUUCAAGUGAUGACAGCGGUACCCACUUCUCCAGAAGCGCCUCUCAGGCCCAGAUUGAGGAAAUGAUGCAUGAGACUCACUGGCCUGAGCGAGGCCAGCUGCCCUGUGGAACAUGCGUGACCCUCUGUGGGACAUGUGUGCUCCCUGUGGGACACGUGUAUCCCAGUUAUCUCCUUUGGUCAUCUUUGGAAGGAAAUGCUGAAAUUCUGUCAGCCCCUGAAGACUGAACUGCUGUCCCGUCUUCCUGAUAUGGUCACAGUUAUGAAAACCUCUUUCUCUUGCUUACCAGUGAUUGUCCCUUUGGUUGCAUAAUGGGACAGUUGGCUAAGCCUAAUCCAUUGAGAUACUUGGAUUCCAGUAACACACACGUGCCCUUCAUCAACCCUCAUGUUCUUGCCACUGUCCCUUCUGCCAUAAAUCACUCUAAGGUCAGGUAUGGGACAACCAGGUACCAUUCCUCAACCCCAGAGGCCCCUCCUGGGUUCUUCCAUCUAAUCCUAAACUGACUGAAUGUUUCCAACCUGCAUACCCAUCCCUGCCUGUGAAGACCCCAGCAAAUGGCUGGUCUGGAGUCUCCGCCUGCCUCCUGAUGCUUUCCCAUGGGGCUCUGUAACACCCCUUGCCUCCUGUUGCUAGAGGUCUGUGAACAUACCCUUCCUUCUCCACAACCCUUCCUGCUGUUUGUCUCCCAUCCUGAUUAAGGCAAGCUCUAAGUACUUUAAAGAACAGACUACAAACGACCAAAGUCAUUUCCUGUUCGCAUUUCCUUUUCUCCCCUCGAGAACAAACGGGCGGAUCCCACAGGCCAGAAUGCACCACGCUGAACAUGAACACCGCCACUGUGGCAGCCGACUUAUUUGGAGAUGAAUGUGAUUAAGAUGAGACAGACUGCAGGCACACUAUAGACUUUGCCUACAUUGUAAAGUCAGUGCGUUUUACUUUGUAAAAGAAACAUUCAUGGGCUGGAGAGAUGGCUCAGCGGUUAAGAGCACUGACUGCUCUUCCAGAGGUCCUGAGUUCAAAUCCCAGCAACCACAUGGUGGCUCACAACCAUCUCUAAUGAGAUCUGGUGCCCUCUUCUGGCCUACAGUCACAUAUGCAGGCAGAAUGCUGUACAUAAAAUAAAUAAAAUAAAUCUUUAAAACAAAAAAAAACAAACAAAAAAAAAGAAA